rnacentral:rRNA from 1 species
CGGAGGGUGCAAGCGUUAUCCGGAUUCACUGGGUUUAAAGGGUGCGUAGGCGGAUUAGAAAGUCCGUUGUGAAAUCUCUGAGCUUAACUCGGAAAUCGCGGUGGAUACUAUUAGUCUUGAAUACUGUGGAGGUUAGCGGAAUAUGUCAUGUAGCGGUGAAAUGCAUAGAUAUGACAUAGAACACCAAUUGCGAAGGCAGCUGGCUACACAGAUAUUGACGCUGAGGCACGAAAGCGUGGGGAUCAAACAGGAUUAGAUACCCUGGUAGUCCACGCCCUAAACGAUGAUUACUCGACAUUUGCGAUACACAGCAAGUGUCUGAGCGAAAGCAUUAAGUAAUCCACCUGGGAAGUACGACCGCAAGGUUG